rnacentral:rRNA from 1 species
GACGAACGCUGGCGGCGUGCUUAACACAUGCAAGUCGAACGGAAAGGCCUGCUUUCCCUUGUGGAUUGCGGGUACUCGAGUGGCGAACGGGUGAGUAACACGUGAGUGAUCUUCCCCCAACUUGUGUAUAAGCCUGGGAAACUGGGUCUAAUUCCCGAUAGGACUGCAGGGUGGUUCCUGUGGUGGAAAACGAUUUUCUAGUGGUUGGGGAUGAGCUCGCGGCCUAUCAGCUUGUUGGUGGGGUAAUGGCCUACCAAGGCGGCGACGGGUAGCCGGCCUGGGAGGGUGGACGGCCAAAUUGGGACUGAGAUACGGCCCAGACUCCUACGGGCGGCAGCAGUGGGGAAUAAUGCACAAUGGGCGGAAGCCUGAUGGAGCGACGCCGCGUGGGGGAUGCCGGCCUUCGGGUUGUAAACUCCUUGCGACCGAGAGGAAGCCACCUGGUUGGAAGGGUGGUGACGGUAGUGGUAGAAGAAGCACCGGCUAACUACGUG